UACACUCCUGCGGGAGGCAGCAGUGGGGAAUAUUGGACAAUGGGCGCAAGCCUGAUCCAGCCAUGCCGCGUGAGUGAUGAAGGCCCUAGGGUUGUAAAGCUCUUUCACCGGUGAAGAUAAUGACGGUAACCGGAGAAGAAGCCCCGGCUAACUUCGUGCCAGCAGCCGCGGUACUACGAAGGGGGCUAGCGUUGUUCGGAUUUACUGGGCGUAAAGCGCACGUAGGCGGACUAUUAAGUCAGGGGUGAAAUCCCGGGGCUCAACCCCGGAACUGCCUUUGAUACUGGUAGUCUUGAGUUCGAGAGAGGUGAGUGGAAUUCCGAGUGUAGAGGUGAAAUUCGUAGAUAUUCGGAGGAACACCAGUGGCGAAGGCGGCUCACUGGCUCGAUACUGACGCUGAGGUGCGAAAGCGUGGGGAGCAAACAGGAUGAGAAACCCUGGUAGUCCCAUG
rnacentral:rRNA from 1 species